UACACUCCUGCGGGAGGCAGCAGUGGGGAAUAUUGGACAAUGGGCGCAAGCCUGAUCCAGCCAUGCCGCGUGAGUGAUGAAGGCCCUAGGGUUGUAAAGCUCUUUCACCGGUGAAGAUAAUGACGGUAACCGGAGAAGAAGCCCCGGCUAACUUCGUGCCAGCAGCCGCGGUAAUACGAAGGGGGCUAGCGUUGUUCGGAUUUACUGGGCGUAAAGCGCACGUAGGCGGACUAUUAAGUCAGGGGUGAAAUCCCGGGGCUCAACCCCGGAACUGCCUUUGAUACUGGUAGUCUUGAGUUCGAGAGAGGUGAGUGGAAUUCCGAGUGUAGAGGUGAAAUUCGUAGAUAUUCGGAGGAACACCAGUGGCGAAGGCGGCUCACUGGCUCGAUACUGACGCUGAGGUGCGAAAGCGUGGGGAGCAAACAGGAUUAGAAACCCCUGUAGUCCCAUGAU
rnacentral:rRNA from 1 species